GGCUGAUCUGACUACAGUGGUGUUUACAACUAAUUGACCACUAUCAGUUAUAGGUUUCUUUGUUCCUUCUUCACUGCCACUGCUUCACCUGACUAGCCUUAA
rnacentral:Y_RNA from 1 species